CCUACGGGACGCAGCAGUGGGGGAUAUUGCAUAAUGGGGGAAACCCUGAUGCAGCGACGCCGCGUGAGUGAAGAAGCGCCUCGGCGCGUAAAGCCCUGUCAGCAGGGAAGAAAAUGACGGUACCUGAAGAAGAAGCCCCGGCUAACUACGUGCCAGCAGCCGCGGUAAUACGUAGGGGGCAAGCGUUAUCCGGAUUUACUGGGUGUAAAGGGGGCGCAGACGGCGAUGCAAGCCAGGAGUGAAAGCCCGGGGCCCAACCCCGGGACUGCUCUUGGAACUGCGUGGCUAGAGUGCAGGAGGGGCAG
rnacentral:rRNA from 1 species